rnacentral:rRNA from 1 species
AGUUUGAUCCUGGCUCAGGACGAACGCUGGCGGCGUGCCUAAUACAUGCAAGUCGAGCGGACAGAUGGGAGCUUGCUCCCUGAUGUUAGCGGCGGACGGGUGAGUAACACGUGGGUAACCUGCCUGUAAGACUGGGAUAACUCCGGGAAACCGGGGCUAAUACCGGAUGGUUGUUUGAACCGCAUGGUUCAAACAUAAAAGGUGGCUUCGGCUACCACUUACAGAUGGACCCGCGGCGCAUUAGCUAGUUGGUGAGGUAACGGCUCACCAAGGCGACGAUGCGUAGCCGACCUGAGAGGGUGAUCGGCCACACUGGGACUGAGACACGGCCCAGACUCCUACGGGAGGCAGCAGUAGGGAAUCUUCCGCAAUGGACGAAAGUCUGACGGAGCAACGCCGCGUGAGUGAUGAAGGUUUUCGGAUCGUAAAGCUCUGUUGUUAGGGAAGAACAAGUACCGUUCGAAUAGGGCGGUACCUUGACGGUACCUAACCAGAAAGCCACGGCUAACUACGUGCCAGCAGCCGCGGUAAUACGUAGGUGGCAAGCGUUGUCCGGAAUUAUUGGGCGUAAAGGGCUCGCAGGCGGUUUCUUAAGUCUGAUGUGAAAGCCCCCGGCUCAACCGGGGAGGGUCAUUGGAAACUGGGGAACUUGAGUGCAGAAGAGGAGAGUGGAAUUCCACGUGUAGCGGUGAAAUGCGUAGAGAUGUGGAGGAACACCAGUGGCGAAGGCGACUCUCUGGUCUGUAACUGACGCUGAGGAGCGAAAGCGUGGGGAGCGAACAGGAUUAGAUACCCUGGUAGUCCACGCCGUAAACGAUGAGUGCUAAGUGUUAGGGGGUUUCCGCCCCUUAGUGCUGCAGCUAACGCAUUAAGCACUCCGCCUGGGGAGUACGGUCGCAAGACUGAAACUCAAAGGAAUUGACGGGGGCCCGCACAAGCGGUGGAGCAUGUGGUUUAAUUCGAAGCAACGCGAAGAACCUUACCAGGUCUUGACAUCCUCUGACAAUCCUAGAGAUAGGACGUCCCCUUCGGGGGCAGAGUGACAGGUGGUGCAUGGUUGUCGUCAGCUCGUGUCGUGAGAUGUUGGGUUAAGUCCCGCAACGAGCGCAACCCUUGAUCUUAGUUGCCAGCAUUCAGUUGGGCACUCUAAGGUGACUGCCGGUGACAAACCGGAGGAAGGUGGGGAUGACGUCAAAUCAUCAUGCCCCUUAUGACCUGGGCUACACACGUGCUACAAUGGACAGAACAAAGGGCAGCGAAACCGCGAGGUUAAGCCAAUCCCACAAAUCUGUU